AAGGAUCAUAGUAAUCGUCUUUGACGUUCGCUUUUCCCUCGUCCCUCGGGACAUUAAGGUGCUCUGGUCGAGGAUAAACGACCCCUCUGACCGAGGUCAAACCCGUCGCUCUGUGUUACCUCAAAAAAAUUUUUUCCGAGGCACACCUUAAAGAUCGUUCCGCAUUGUGAGUCUAACACCAGUUGUAUAAACUUUUUACAACCGGUAGCGCUGGAUCCCUUGGCACGUCAUUCGAUGAAGACCGUUGCAAAUUGCGAUAAAGUGAUGUGAUGCGCAAGUCCACCACUUAUACGUGAAUCAUCGAGUUGUUGAACGCAUUGCACCGCGCCCUAAUCCGGCUGCGGUAUGCCCCUUUGAGCGUCAUUGUAUUCCUUCGGGAGUCCUUUUACAAGGACCCGAGUUCGGAGUCCUCGGUCCCCUGUGGAUCGUGUUCUCUCAGAUGCGUCGCACCGAUCGCCUGAUGGGUCCUCUAAUGCCUAAGCGUGGAGUUCCUUCAGAGUCCGAGAGGUGCUUGACCGAGUCUUGAGCUCGUGUCACCAAGUCCGCCUAACAGCAGUACUACAACCCAUGACCCUCAUUGGGGUAGGACAACCCGCUAGACUUAAGCAUAUUAAUCAGCGGAGGAAAAGAAACUAACCAAGGAUUCCCUCAGAAA
rnacentral:rRNA from 1 species